rnacentral:rRNA from 1 species
UAGGGAAUCUUCGGCAAUGGGGGCAACCCUGACCGAGCAACGCCGCGUGAGUGAAGAAGGUUUUCGGAUCGUAAAGCUCUGUUGUAAGUCAAGAACGAGUGUGAGAGUGGAAAGUUCACACUGUGACGGUAUCUUACCAGAAAGGGACGGCUAACUACGUGCCAGCAGCCGCGGUAAUACGUAGGUCCCGAGCGUUGUCCGGAUUUAUUGGGCGUAAAGCGAGCGCAGGCGGUUAGAUAAGUCUGAAGUUAAAGGCUGUGGCUUAACCAUAGUACGCUUUGGAAACUGUUUAACUUGAGUGCAAGAGGGGAGAGUGGAAUUCCAUGUGUAGCGGUGAAAUGCGUAGAUAUAUGGAGGAACACCGGUGGCGAAAGCGGCUCUCUGGCUUGUAACUGACGCUGAGGCUCGAAAGCGUGGGGAGCAAACAGGAUUAGAUACCCUGGUAGUCCACGCCGUAAACGAUGAGUGCUAGGUGUUAGACCCUUUCCGGGGUUUAGUGCCGCAGCUAACGCAUUAAGCACUCCGCCUGGGGAGUACGACCGCAAGGUU